rnacentral:rRNA from 1 species
UUGGUGAGGUAAUGGCUCACCAAGGCGACGAUCGGUAGCCGAACUGAGAGGUUGAUCGGCCGCAUUGGGACUGAGACACGGCCCAGACUCCUACGGGAGGCAGCAGUGGGGGAUAUUGCACAAUGGAGGGAACUCUGAUGCAGCGACGCCGCGUGGGGGAAGAAGGUUUUCGGAUUGUAAACCUCAGUAGUCAGGGAAGAAAGAAAUGACGGUACCUGAAGAGUAAGCUCCGGCUAACUACGUGCCAGCAGCCGCGGUAAUACGUAGGGAGCGAGCGUUGUCCGGAAUUACUGGGUGUAAAGGGUGCGUAGGCGGGUCAGCAAGUCAGGCGUGAAAUACCGGGGCUCAACUCCGGGGCUGCGCUUGAAACUGUUGGUCUUGAGUGAAGUAGAGGCAGGCGGAAUUCCUAGUGUAGCGGUGAAAUGCGUAGAUAUUAGGAGGAACACCAGUGGCGAAGGCGGCCUGCUGGGCUUUAACUGACGCUGAUGCACGAAAGCAUGGGGAGCAAACAGGAUUAGAUACCCUGGUAGUCCAUGCCGUAAACGAUGAUAGCUAGGUGUGGGGGGUUAUAUGCCAUCCGU